UACGUAGGUGACAAGCGUUGUCCGGAUUUACUGGGCGUAAAGAGCGCGCAGGCGGUCGAUCAAGUCGAGUGUGAAAGCCCCCGGCUCAACUGGGGAGGGUCAUUCGAUACUGAUCGACUCGAAGGCAGGAGAGGGUAGUGGAAUUCCCGGUGUAGUGGUGAAAUGCGUAGAUAUCGGGAGGAACACCAGUGGCGAAGGCGAUACCUGGCCUGUUCUUGACGCUGAGGCGCGAAAGCUAGGGGAGCAAACGGGG
rnacentral:rRNA from 1 species